UUUCCAGCCGCCGCGGUAAUACGUAGGGUGCAAGCGUUAAUCGGAAUUACUGGGCGUAAAGCGUACGCAGGCGGCUUUGCAAGACAGGUGUGAAAUCCCCGGGCCUAACCUGGGAACUGCAUUUGUGACUGCAUAGCUAGAGUCUGUCAGAGGGGGGUGGAAUUCCACGUGUAGCAGUGAAAUGCGUAGAGAUGUGGAAGAACACCGAUGGCGAAGGCAGCCCCCUGGGGUAAGACUGACGCUCAUGUACGAAAGCGUGGGGAGCAAACAGGAUUAGAAACCCUAGUAGUCC
rnacentral:rRNA from 1 species